rnacentral:rRNA from 1 species
GAUGAACGCUGGCGGCGUGCCUAACACAUGCAAGUCGAGCGAUCUUCUUCGGAAGAGAGCGGCGGACGGGUGAGUAACGCGUGGGUAACCUGCCCCAUACACAUGGAUAACAUACCGAAAGGUAUGCUAAUACAGGAUGAUAUAAGAGAUUCGCAUGGAUUUCUAUCAAAGCUCCGGCGGUAUGAGAUGGACCCGCGUCUGAUUAGCUAGUUGGUAAGGUAAUGGCUUACCAAGGCGACAAUCAGUAGCCGACCUGAGAGGGUGAUCGGCCACAUUGGAACUGAGACACGGUCCAAACUCCUACGGGAGGCAGCAGUGGGGAAUAUUGCACAAUGGGCGAAAGCCUGAUGCAGCAACGCCG